UUCUUCUUUUUCUUCUUCUAUUUUCUUUCUUCUCAUGUUCUUCGUCUGUGAGAGUUUUGUGAGGCGUGAGCUAUUACUGUCUGAUAAAGAUUAUAUAAUGAUACCGUUAGAUGGUGAGAAGAUAGUUUGGUUAUUGGAAGUGAAGCAAAACAAUUAGGGUUCGAAUAUGAGACGAUGUAAGUCAGGGUUAUAGAUUUGAUUUAGGUUCUGAAGAUUUAAGAAUGAAAUUUAGAGUUAUGAUUGAUUUAAGAACAAAGGGUUAUCUUUUAAUUGAAGUUUAGAAGUGAUUUUGAUGAAGAACUGAAAAGUUAGGGUUCAUGGAAGAAAUAGAGGAAUUUGAUAAAUUGGAAGAUUGGUUCGAUUUAGAUGAUUCUGAUUGUUAUUUGAGUUAGGUGUUGAAUUAAUCGAAGGGUUAGGUUGAAGCUACAGAUCGUGUCAAGAUUUCAGGUGAUGAAUUAUGUCUCUGUGAUUAAGGUUUGAGUUGGAAAUUCAGAUGAAGAACUAGAAGAUGAAAUUGAAAGUUUAAGGGGAAGAUUUGAGAUGGGUAUGAUUGAUAUGGAAGUUAGGGUUACAUAUUGAAUUCGAAUUGGAAAAACAGAGGAUUGGGAAUUUGUAAGGGUUUUCAUAGAACCAUUGAAGGUGUUGAAGAUUAUUGAACUAUUGCGAGUUCUGAUGAGUUGUUGAACUAAAUACGGGUGAAGAAGACAUUGAAUACAGUUGUCUGAGUAUUACUGAAUCGAGGUAAGUGUUCGUAUCAGCAAAUUUAGUUAGUUAUUCAUGUUAGUUUUGAGUUCUUAGUGUUGUGGGUGAUAUAAUAAUUAAAAAAAGGGUUUACUAUGGAUGUGGAAUUAUAAAUCAUUGUAAUGAUGAUGUUGGUUGUGGAAAUGGGUUGUUGGAAUUACUAGUGAAUCCUAGAUGGAUUAAGUUUAAAUGAAUGUUAGGCAGGGAAGAGUAUCUGCAGAGGUAUAACUAAUGGUGAUAGUAUUAAUUGAAGUUGCAAUUGUAGAAUUGAAGUGGAAGUAGUAUUGUUGUGUGGAAUGGGAACAAUUGUGGAGCUGUAGGAUUUAAGUCUACUAGAGAUGUUAUAUAGAGCUGGUGGUGGUAAAGAAGAUGUGUUGUUCUUCUGAAUUAGGAUUGAGCGGGGUUAAAGGUUGUUGUUCUAUGAUUGAGUUCUUUUAGGGGGUAGAUGAUGCAUUUUUUAGUUAAGUUCAGAGUUUGGAGAGAUUAAUGGAACUGAGUUAGUGAAUUUGUGUAACAGAUGGUUGUGUUGAGCCGCAACUGUAGUUAGUAUAUGAAGUGUAGAUAGGAAGAUGAAUUUGAAAUAGUUUGCGUUGAAUUGAUUAUCUCCAGUGGAAGCUUGCAACUGCAUUUGCAGUUAGUUAUUAAUAACGAUCGAUUCAAAGGAUGAACCAGUGGAUUGUGGAUCUCGAGGUAGGCGUGGCUUGUCAUCAAAAGAGGUACUUUGGAGUCAUUUUGAGCAAAAGAAGGAGAAAACGUCCAUUUGGAGCGAAAGCGCAAAAAGGCGGAUUCACAGGCGUGUGAUAGUUGGAGCCAGCCAAAGUUAUGCAUCAACGGAGAUGAAGAAUGAGAUGUCAGUUCCCUGGAACUGACAGUUCAAUAGAACCAAUUAAAGACUGGGUGGCCUUAUCCUAACCUGCAGGGUGCCAAUAUCAAUUCCAAUUCCUUCACUAGUAACACUACCCCUUAUCUAUGUCAGUUGGGUGGCUACAUCCAUUUCAUUUCCUACAGAGCCCUAAAUUUCAGAGAGAAUCAAUUUUCUCUCAUUCAUUUCGGCAGCUGCUGUUUGUCUGAGGGUUAGAAAUAUUCAGAGAUGAGAAAUUGUGAAGAACAGAUCGAGAAACUGAGAGACUCGGUGAGAUGAGAUGAUGAAGAAGAUUAUAGCUGUUGUUGUUGACGUAUUGUCAGUAAAACUAGGGUUUAAAAUCAAAAGGGGAUCUGAGAUGUUCUUGGAUUGCAGAGAGGAAAUUAAUGAUCUUGUUUAGAUAUGGGUUUGGAGGAAUUCAAGGUGCAGAUGUUGUUGUCGUUGAGUAAGGGUUGAAUCGCUUAAUUUCUUCUGCUAAUGUUCGAGAAAUUCAGGGGAGAUUGAAAUGGUUACUGUUCAGAGAGGAAUUGAGGUGCUGCCUGAGAUAGAGAAGGAUUGGAUCUGCUACUGUUGAUAGAGGCGGAGAUUUGAGAAAUUGAGAUGGGUUUUGCUGCUAAUGGAAGAUAAAAAGUUGGGUUUGUGCAUAUAUUCAAAUCAGAGAAGAAUCAUUGGAGUUAGGGUUCUGCGAAACUUAGACUGAGAAUCAUCAAGGGAAGAGAUGAAGCCACUACUGUCGACUUAAGAAACUGGAGGUGGAGAUUCAAAUGAAGAAGGUUAUGUUGGAGAUGGAAGGAACUGAGCAGCAGCACAUGGCAGGUGGUCUUGCAACUGACACCGAUGAUGGAUGAAUGUGUGAAGAAGAAAGAGUUGGAGUUGUUACUGGUGUUACUGAUGCUGAGACAGUGGAGUUGCAGCUGAAGCUACGGAGAUAGUGAUGGAAUUGGAAUUGGUUAGGUGCUGUGAGAUACAAGGCAAAAGGAGUACAGGUUAGGUGGCUUGUACGAGUUGCAGAUAAAGUAGGUACAGCUGAACUCAUUGAUAAAAUGUUGGUAGUCCUGGCGUUGUUUUGAGAAGAGAUUGAUCUUGUAUCCGUGGAAGCAAUUAAGUCCUUGAGGAGGAGGUUGCAGUUGAGUGUUGAUAAGCUGCAGUUGAAUCGAGAUGAAGCUGAUUUAAAAGGUUGAGCAAGACAUGGAGAGAAGUAUCAGAUGAACUUGAGUUGUUGCCAUGAUUAGAUGUAUGUCUAGGAUACAGGGCAUGAAGAGCAGGUGUUGAAGUGAUGCAGUGAGACCUGUUGAGCUGAAAUGAAAAUGGUCCUGAGAUGAAAUCAGUGAGGUUGCGGUGAAGCCCCAAAGUUGGUGUUGCUACCAGCUGAAACUGAGGCUGAGCUGAAGUCCUGUAGCAGAAGGAUGCAAUGGAACUGAAGUGCUGGUGGUGAUUCUAUAGAAUAAUGGUUGUGUUGUGUGUUGUUGGUACUGUUGGAGGGGGUUCCAGGUGCAAUGAGGUGCUGAAGAGUGAACAGCUGAUGGAAGCUUAAAUGGAAUAAUGAGAGCUACAGUUGAUGGAAUUUGUGGUUGCUGUAAUAUGAAGAAUGUGAUUGGUGUUGUGUGUGUGGGUCUGCUGCGGAAUUGGCAAGAGGGAAGUUGUUGCAGGUGAGAUGAAAGUAAGCAAAGCCUGGUGAUGAAUCUCAGUGAAGAAAUGGGUUGCGCAGGCAUGAGUGCAAUGGUGAUAUAUGAACUGAAGGUGCAGUUCUGGCUGGCUGAGAUGCAGUGAAGCAUUAUCAUUACGCAUCACAGGUUUGGCCUGUGCAAGAUGGCUCGGGAUGUGCAACAGCUCUGGCCUAAAGAUCUGACUCGGUCUUGACCCAGUUAACUCAGAUCCUGACUCAGACGCUGUUAGUGAGCCGUUAACUGUAACAGCUGACCGUUAUGUUCGACCGGUGACCGGGUGGACUUUGCCGGUCACCUGAGAUACUUUACCGGUGACAUUACGGCCAAAUUCCGGGCAUUUUAUCAGUUUUCCGGCGACCACUUUUGGGUUAUAUUUUCUACAUGGGUGUUUUCACAUAUGGGCUUGGUGGACAUCUUUGUAUUGGACUUUGGACUUUGAAGACUUGACCUAGUUUUGGAAAGCAAAGGAACUACAAAAGGAAAGAUUUUUACAACUUUGUGUAUCACGUAUUUUCUACUUGGAGCUUUGGAGAGCAGCGACUAGGGUUUGCUUUCAUUUUUGUUUUUCAUCUUCUUCAUUUUAUUAUUGAAUAUGAUGAACUCAAAAGCUAUGAGUAGCUAAACAACUAUUAUUGGUUAUGGGAUAAAGUUGAUUUUACAACAUGAUAUUGCUUCAA